GACGAACGCUGGCGGCGUGCUUAACACAUGCAAGUCGAACGGUAAGGUCCUUCGGGGGACACGAGUGGCGAACGGGUGAGUAACACGUGGGUGGUCUGCCCUGCACUCCUGGAUAAGCCUGCGAAACUGGGUCUAAUACCGGAUAGGACUCCGGACUGGAUGCUCUGGGGCGGAAAGAUUUUGCGGUGUGGGAUGGGCCCGCGGCCUAUCAGCGUGUUGGUGGGGUGAUGGCCUACCACGGCGACGACGGGUAGCCGGCCUGAGAGGGUGACGGGCCACACUGGGACUGAGAUACGGCCCAGACCCCUACGGGAGGCAGCAGUGGGGAAUAUUGCACAAUGGGCGCAAGCCUGAUGCAGCGACGCCGCGUGAGGGAUGACGGCCUUCGGGUUGUAAACCUCUUUCAGCAUCGACGAAGCGAAAGUGACGGUAGGUGCAGAAGAAGGACCGGCCAACUACGUGCCAGCCGCCGCCGUAA
rnacentral:rRNA from 1 species